AUUGAACGCUGGCGGCGUGCCUAACACAUGCAAGUCGAACGGAGCGGCGGACGGGUGAGUAAUGACUAGGAAUCUACCUGGUAGUGAGGGAUAACGUACGGAAACGGGCGCUAAUACCGCAUACUAUCAGAUGAGCCUAGGUCGGAUUAGCUAGUUGGUGGGGUAAAGGCCUACCAAGGCGACGAUCCGUAACUGGUCUGAGAGGAUGAUCAGUCACACUGGAACUGAGACACGGCCCAGACUCCUACGGGAGGCAGCAGUGGGGAAUAUUGGACAAUGGGCGAAAGCCUGAUCCAGCCACGCCGCGUGUGUGAAGAAGGUUUUCGGAUUGUAAAGCACUUUAAGUUGGGAAGCGUUACCUACAGAAUAAGCACCGGCUAACUUCGUGCCAGCAGCCGCGGUAAUUC
rnacentral:rRNA from 1 species